rnacentral:rRNA from 1 species
AAUGAACGCUGGCGGCGCGCCUAAUACAUGCAAGUCGAGCGAGAAGACGUAGCAAUACGUUUGUAAAGCGGCGAACGGGUGAGGAAUACAUGGGUAACCUACCCUCGAGUGGGGAAUAACUAGCCGAAAGGUUAGCUAAUACCGCGUACGCUUCUUGGACUUCGGUUCAGGGAGGAAAGCGAUGCCGAGGGUAUCGCGCUCUUGGAUGGGCUCAUGUCCUAUCAGCUGUUGGUGAGGUAACGGCUCACCAAGGCUUCGACGGGUAGCUGGUCUGAGAGGACGAUCAGCCACACUGGCACUGCGACACGGGCCAGACUCCUACGGGAGCAGCAGUAGAAUAUGCGCAAUGGGCGAAAGCCUGACGCAGCGACGCCGCGUGGGGGAUGAAGGUCUUCGGA